rnacentral:rRNA from 1 species
CCUACGGGUGGCUGCAGUAAGGAAUAUUGGUCAAUGGACGAAAGUCUGAACCAGCCAUGCCGCGUGGAGGAUGAAGGUCCUCUGGAUUGUAAACUUCUUUUAUAUGGGACGAAAAAAGGCUUUUCUAAGUCGUCUGACGGUACCAUAUGAAUAAGCACCGGCUAACUCCGUGCCAGCAGCCGCGGUAAUACGGAGGGUGCAGGCGUCAUCCGGAUUAACUGGGUUUAAGGGGGGUGUGUAUGUCUGGGUUGAAAUCCCCGAGCUUAACUUGGGAACUGCCAUUGAUACUAUCAGUCUUGAAUACCGUGGAGGUCAGCGGAAUAUGUCAUGUAGCGGUGAAAUGCUUAGAUAUGACAUAGAACACCAAUUGCGAAGGCAGCUGGCUACCCGAAUAUUGACACUGAGGCACGAAAGCGUGGGGAUCAAACAGGAUUAGAUACCCUAGUAGUC